rnacentral:misc_RNA from 1 species
GAUGAAGAACGUAGCGAAAUGCGAUAAGUAAUGUGAAUUGCAGAAUUCAGUGAGUCAUCGAAUCUUUGAACGCACAUUGCGCCCACUGGUAUUCCGGUGGGCAUGCCUGUUCGAGCGUCAUUAUCCUCCCUCAAACCCCGGGUUUGGUGUUGGACCCAAGUUGUGUGAACAACUGGUCUCAAAGACAAUGACGGCGUCCGUGGGACCCUCGGUGCAACGAGCUUUUAGGAGCACGCAUCGAGUUGCAAGGACCUUCCGGGCCGGUCUCCUUUACCAUUUUACAAGGUUGACCUCGCAUCAGGUAGGAAUACCCGCUGAACUUAAGCAUAUCAAUAAGCGGAGGA